UACGGAGGGUGCAAGCGUUGUCCGGAAUCACUGGGCGUAAAGGGCGCGUAGGCGGCCUGGUAAGUAGGGGGUGAAAUCCUGCGGCUUAACCGCAAGGCUGCCUUCUAAACUGUCAGGCUUGAGCACGGUAGAGGCAGAUGGAAUUCCCGGUGUAGCGGUGGAAUGCGUAGAGAUCGGGAAGAACAUCAGUGGCGAAGGCGGUCUGCUGGGCCGUUGCUGACGCUGAGGCGCGACAGCGUGGGGAGCAAACAGG
rnacentral:rRNA from 1 species